GGAAGGCCCUGAGCCACGGAGACCUGCUGCAGAUGAGGAAGGGUGGGGCAAGCCCCUGCUCCGGGGUACUGUUUGGGGACAAGCUGAACUUACACAUUUAGCCCACAGAUGUUCGCUGGAAGCGUCCCAUGUGAUGCAGCCAUUAGAACAUCACAAGGUGAAUGCUGUCACUUUGAGGCCAAGAAACGACACUGCCAUGGAAGGCUGCCCUGGGCACACUGGGCUUCUCUGAGAAUUCGCGUGUGCACAGCUAAACACUGGGGCGGGUGCAGCCCAGCAAGCCCUGCUCGUCUUUGGGAACAAUUUAUUACUGCACUCUGACCCCAGGAAUGCCUGGCAUGCAGACUGAUUCUAAUUAAAGACCCCGAGAGAAAGAUUCCAAUAUAAAAUCGAUAAAAAAAUGCGAACUUGAACAAAUAAAUAGUGAGCA
rnacentral:lncRNA from 1 species